CGUGGCGAACGGGUGCGUAACACGUGGAUAACCUUCCUUGAGGUGGGGAAUAACCCAGUGAAAACUGGGCUAAUACCGCAUAACAUGACGAUGGCACAUGCCGUUGUCUUCAAAGGCGCAAGUCGCCACAAGAGGGAUCCGCGGCCGAUUAGCCUGUUGGCGAGGUAAUGGCUCACCAAGGCAAUGAUCGGUAGCCGGACUGAGAGGUUGGCCGGCCACACUGGAACUGAGACACGGUCCAGACUCCUACGGGAGGCAGCAGUGGGGAAUCUUGCACAAUGGACGAAAGUCUGAUGCAGCAACGCCGCGUGGGGGAUGAAGCUUCUCGGAGUGUAAACCCCUUUCGACCCGGAAGAAUGCCCGCAAGGGCUUGACGGUACGGGUAUAAGAAGCCCCGGCUAACUACGUGCCAGCAGCCGCGGUAAUACGUAGGGGGCCAGCGUUGCUCGGAAUUACUGGGCGUAAAGGGUCCGUAGGCGGUGUGGCAAGUCGGGAGUGAAAUCUCUAGGCUUAACCUAGAGGCUGCUUCCGAAACUGCCAUGCUAGAGUGUGAGAGAGGCGAGUGGAAUUACGGGUGUAGCGGUGAAAUGCGUAGAUAUCCGUAGGAACAUCCGAGGCGAAGGCGGCUCGCUGGAUCACAAC
rnacentral:rRNA from 1 species